GCUCGCGUUGCCAAGUGGCAUAAGGCGAGAGUCUGCAAAACUCUUAUUCGUAAGUUCAAAUCUUACCGUCAUCU
rnacentral:tRNA from 1 species